CAGUCGAGUUUCAUCCGCCAGCCUGACCACACGCACACACACACGCACACUCACACACUCAAAUAUUACUAUUAACACAUAUCCCGCCCUCUGAUUGGUUACUGAAAUCAUGCGAGUGCGAAAAAGAUUCCUUCCGAUUGGUUGAUUCCCAAUUGUCGAGGCGCUGUGAUUGGUGCAAAGGACGCAGGUGUAAUUGGUGUUAAUUGACAAUGCACAGGUGUAGUAACGUGGUGGUGCUGGUGGUGGUGGUGCUGGUGGUGACAGUGUGUUUCCUGCCGUGUGUUAUAGCGGCGAACAGCACGUCACACGAUAGCAUCAAGGCAGCAGCAGCAGCAGCAGCAGCAGAAGGGGACAGCUGCAAUGAGGGAGAGAAAGACUGCAUUUGUUUCUACGAGGACGUUGAUGAAGGCGACGACGGCGACGACGAAGAAGAAGAAGAAGAAAAUGAAGUGAAGAGCAGACAGAAGCGCUUUCUCGCCUUCUCACCUGAUAGACGCCUAGCUCUGCCUCCUGGCGCAUCUCUUGUCAUCGCCGUCACCUUCAGUAUGCCCUUAAGACGUUAUCCUCCAGAGGUCUUCAGCUCCGCCCUCAGGAACGCCACGUCUGCUACCAUGGCCGUCUCGAUUCCUCUGACUGUAAGCUUCGACACUCUGGGCGUCACCUCUGAUUUCAACCGCUUCGGAUUGAUUGGCCUAUUCCGGCGGAGGCGCAGAAGGAGGAGGCGUGCAGCGGCUGGUAUGGGGGUAGGCAAUGACAUCGUGGAGUCUGGCGGGGAGAGGCCGGCUAUGUACGCAGCCCUAGAGGAGAUCGUGGGGCAGCGUGGGUUUGCCGGGCCAGGCGUGUUUACUGAGGACUGUCUGCGAGGUGUUCCAGGGCCCGCAGCCUAACCACGGCUUUUUUGGGGAGGUGUUACAUCUUUUGUUGAGCCCCAGCCGCGCCCCCUCAGAGCAGCUGGGGCACCUCGAGGCCUACCUGCAGGCUGAGAAGGUAGGCCGUACUACUGGCGAUUGUUCAGCCUACCACACGGCCUGCCCUAAGAGUAUUUACAUGGAUGCUGACCGACCUGAUAGGGAGUACGAUGAAGACUACGAGAAUGACUUAGAAGAGGAGACUUGCUCCCUCCCCGGCACAAGGUACUAGGGGAGGAACAGCACAGAGGAUGGAACCUACGAGUGACGGGCGCUGGGAAGACACUUGGCGGUAUUUUGAAACGCCUUAUUCUCUCGCUAUAACUAUUUUCAAAGGCCACAGAGAUGAUCUUCCAUGUUCUGAUGACUGUUCCUUCUUUGAUAAUGUAGGAAUGUUGUUAAUCUGUCACUAAUUAUAAACACUCUUAGAAACCCGUGUAACUUCAACUAGAGGCUUUUGAAAGGUGUGGGGCAGGCGUUUCAGAAUGUGGUCUAUACUGUCACCUGGGGAUUUAACCCUUUCACUGCGACACCAAACAAUUAGCAGCAGAAAAAAACAAUACGUGAAGUUUUUAUAAGCAUUUAGAAGAAAGUCAGCGAUGGAAAGGAAUACAUUUUGCAAUAUCUUAGAAAUUCAAAGGUUGGGUGUGGAACAAGUCAGGUGUCUCAAAGUGACUGGUGAUGAGGUAAAGGCGGGCCAGGUGGCAGUCAAAGGGUUAAUCAUGUGCAAUAUAAAGAAUGAUAUACCUAAUAAAAAUAGAUAAGUGAUAAAAUGUAAUAAAAAGAAAUAAGAUAAGGGAAAGUAAUAAAAAAGAUAAUGGAGAUAUGGAGAAAGGAAGGCAUUAAUUUUACGCAUGAGAGAGCGAGAGAGAGAGAGAGAGAGAGAGAGAGAGAGAGAGAGAGAGAGAGUUCCUAAAAAUACAUGUUAACUUACUAUUUGAUGUUAUUAUUCUUGUUGUUGUUAUUAUAGUUUUGUUGUUAAUAUAUCCA